rnacentral:tRNA from 1 species
GGGGAUUUAGCUCAGUGAUAGAGCGUUUGCCUAGCAAGCGCAAGGCCCUGGGUUCGGUCCCCAGCUCCG